GUAGGUGAACCUGCGGAAGGAUCAUUAUUGAAUAUUCUUGAUGGGUUGUAGCUGGCUCUUCGGAGCAUGUGCACGCCUGUCUUGACUUAAUUCAUCCACCUGUGCACCUUUUGUAGUCUUGGGGGUUGAGUGCAGUCGACUGUCGGACCGGCUAUUGUGGCCUAUCCGGAUGUGAGGAAUGCUGAGUGCGGAAGCAUGCGGCUCUCUUCAAAACGACUUGUGAACCUCUCCCUCGAGUACUAUGUAUUCAUACACCACAUAGUAUGUUGUAGAAUGUGAUCAAUGGGCCUAUGUGCCUAUAAUAAUCAUAUACAACUUUCAGCAACGGAUCUCUUGGCUCUC
rnacentral:misc_RNA from 1 species